GUCAAGUCCUGUCUGGUGUGUCUGAACUCUUACUGUCAGAAUCACCUUGAACAACAUGAGAGUUUGUUUAAAGGAAAGAGACACAAUCUGACUGAAGCCACUGGACGACUGCAGGAGAUGAUCUGCCCGAAACACGACAAGAUCCUUGAGGUUUUCUGCCGCACUGAUCAGGAAGUGUAUAUGUGUGCUGUGUACGAUGUAUGAACAUAAAAACCACGACACUGUAUCAACUGCAGCACAGAGGACAGAGAAACAGCACCAGCUGAAGGAGACGCAGAGGUUGUUCCAGCAGAGGAUCCAGCAGAGAGAGAAAGAUCUUCAGCAGCUGAGAGAGGCUGUGGAGUCUCAUAAGCGCUCUGCACAGACAGCAGUGGAGGACAGUGAGAGGAUCUUCACUGAGCUCAUCCGCUCC